rnacentral:rRNA from 1 species
AUACGUAGGGUGCGAGCGUUGUCCGGAAUUACUGGGCGUAAAGAGCUCGUAGGUGGUUUGUCGCGUCGUCUGUGAAGUUCCGGGGCUUAACUCCGGGCGUGCAGGCGAUACGGGCAUAACUUGAGUACUGUAGGGGAGACUGGAAUUCCUGGUGUAGCGGUGAAAUGCGCAGAUAUCAGGAGGAACACCGGUGGCGAAGGCGGGUCUCUGGGCAGUAACGGACGCUGAGGAGCGAAAGCAUGGGUAGCGAACAGGAUUAGAUACCCUGGUAGUCCAUGCCGUAAACGGUGGGCGCUAGGUGUAGGGGUCUUCCACGACUUCUGUGCCGUAGCUAACGCAUUAAGCGCCCCGCCUGGGGAGUACGGCCGCAAGGCUAAAACUCAAAGGAAUUGACGGGG